rnacentral:rRNA from 1 species
CGCGGUGAAUACGUUCCCGGACCUUGUACACACCGCCCGUCAAGCCAUGGGAGCCGGGUGUACCUAAAGACGAUAACCGUAAGGAGUCGUCCAAGGUAAAACCGGUGACUGGGGCU